UACGUACCGUCUAAACGUUAUUCGGAAUUACUGGGUUUAAAGGGUACGUAGGCGGCGCUGUUAGUCGGGUGUGAAAGCCCUCGGCUCAACCGAGGAAUUGCGCCCGAUACUGCAGUGCUUGAGGGAGACAGAGGUAAGCGGAACUGAUGGUGGAGCGGUGAAAUGCGUUGAUAUCAUCAGGAACACCGGUGGCGAAAGCGGCUUACUGGGUCUCUUCUGACGCUGAGGUACGAAAGCUAGGGUAGCGAAGGGG
rnacentral:rRNA from 1 species